CCCUUAGAUGUUCGGGGCCGCACGCGCGCUACACUGAAGGAAUCAGCACGUCUUUCUCCUUGUCCGAAAGGACUGGGUAACCCGCUGAACCUCCUUCGUGCUAGGGAUUGGGGCUUGUAAUUCUUCCCCAUGAACGAGGAAUUCCCAGUAAGCGCGAGUCAUAAGCUCGCGUUGAUUACGUCCCUGCCUUUUGUACACACCGCCCGUCGCUACUACCGAUUGGAUGGUUUAGUGAGAUCCUCGGAUUGGUCCCGGCGCGGCCUCUGGUCGUGCCGGAGUGCCGAAAAGAAUGUCGAACUUGAUCAUCUAGAGGAAGUAAAAGUCGUAACA
rnacentral:rRNA from 1 species